ACGAACGCUGGCGGCGUGCCUAAUACAUGCAAGUCGAACGGUCUUUCUAUGGAAGCUUGCUUCCACUGAGAGGAUAGUGGCGAACGGGUGAGUAACACGUGGGUAACCUGCCCAUAAGAGGGGGAUAACAUCCGGAAACGGGUGCUAAUACCGCAUAGUUUUCUUGAUCGCAUGAUUGAGAAAGGAAAGACGGCCUUUGUGCUGUCGCUUAUGGAUGGACCCGCGGCGUAUUAGUUAGUUGGUGAGGUAAUGGCUCACCAAGACGAUGAUACGUAGCCGACCUGAGAGGGUGAUCGGCCACAUUGGGACUGAGACACGGCUCAAACUCCUACGGGAGGCAGCAGUAGGGAAUCUUCCGCAAUGGACGAAAGUCUGACGGAGCAACGCCGCGUGAGUGAAAGAAGGUUUUCGGAUCGUAAAACUCUGUUGUCAGAGAAGAACAAGUUGGAGAGUAACUGCUCCAGCCUUGACGGUAUCUGACCAGAAAGCCACGGCUAACUACGUGCCAGCCGCCGC
rnacentral:rRNA from 1 species